rnacentral:rRNA from 1 species
UACGUAGGUGGCGAGCGUUGUCCGGAUUUACUGGGCGUAAAGAGCGCGCAGGCGGCUGGUCAAGUCCGAUGUGAAAGCUCCCGGCUUAACUGGGAAAUUGCAUCGGAAACUGAUCGGCUGGAAGGUGGGAGAGGGUAGCGGAAUUCCAGGUGUAGCGGUGAAAUGCGUAGAUAUCUGGAGGAACACCGGUGGCGAAGGCGGCAUCCUGGACCGGUAUUGACGCUGAGGCGCGAAAGCCAGGGGAGCAAACGGG